AUACGGAGGAUCCGAGCGUUAUCCGGAUUUAUUGGGUUUAAAGGGUGCACAGGCGGGAGAUUAAGUCGGCGGUGAAAUUUUGCAGCUCAACUGUAAAAGUGCCUUCGAAACUGGUUUUCUUGAGUGUAGAUGAAGUAGGCGGAAUUUGUGGUGUAGCGGUGAAAUGCAUAGAUAUCACGAGGAACUCCGAUUGCGCAGGCAGCUUACUAAACUACUACUGACGCUCAGGCACGAAGGCGUGGGGAUCAAACAGGAUUAGAUACCCUGGUAGUCCACGCAGUAAACGAUGAUUACUAGCUGUUUGCGAUACAAUGUAAGCGGCUGAGCGAAAGCGUUAAGUAAUCCACCUGGGGAGUACGUUCACAAGAAUGAAACUCAAAGGAAUUGACGGGG
rnacentral:rRNA from 1 species